rnacentral:rRNA from 1 species
UACGUAGGGGGCAAGCGUUGUCCGGAUUUACUGGGCGUAAAGGGCUCGUAGGCGGCCAACUAAGUCGGACGUGAAAUCCCUCGGCUUAACCGGGGAACUGCGUCCGAUACUGGAUGGCUUGAGUUCGGGAGAGGGAUGCGGAAUUCCAGGUGUAGCGGUGAAAUGCGUAGAUAUCUGGAGGAACACCGGUGGCGAAGGCGGCAUCCUGGACCGACACUGACGCUGAGGAGCGAAAGCCAGGGGAGCAAACGGG